UGAACAAGCUCACAGUACUGUCAAAGUUGCUGCAACUAAGACAGGCAUGCAUCUUUAAUGUUCACCAGCAGUUGCACACUUCCUUGACUAACUUGCAGACACUUAAAGACAGAUUUUGGUGAUGAUGCUGUUGCAGAAAUAAUUGACCUAUUCAGACCUCAACUUGAGGCACAGUCUGUGGAUGUAGGAGCUGCAGAAGAAGAAUUGACAUUCCUUAAACAAGCUUUGUAUGAGAGCCAUGAUGUUCACAAGAU